rnacentral:rRNA from 1 species
AGUGGCGCACGGGUGAGUAACGCGUAGGUAAUCUACCUUAAGGAUUGGGAUAGCUCUACGAAAGUAGGAUUAAUACCAUAUAUGCUCUAUUGAGUAAAGAUUUAUCGCCUUAUGAUGAGCCUGCGUUAGAUUAGUUAGUUGGUAGGGUAACGGCCUACCAAGGCGACGAUCUAUAGCCGGGUUGAGAGACUGGCCGGCCACAUUGGGACUGAGACACGGCCCAGACUCCUACGGGAGGCAGCAGCUAAGAAUCUUCCGCAAUGGACGCAAGUCUGACGGAGCGACGCCGCGUGAACGAUGAAGGCCUUACAGGUUGUAAAGUUCUUUUAUAGAAGACGAAUGUUAUGCGUAGGCAUAACUGACGGUAUUCUAUGAAUAAGGUCCGGCUAACUACGUGCCAGCAGCCGCGGUAAUACGUAGGGACCGAGCGUUGUUCGGAAUUAUUGGGCGUAAAGGGUACGUAGGCGGUCUAAUAAGUCAGAUGUGAAACCCUCGGGCUCAUCCUGAGGCCUGCGUCUGAUACUGUUAGGCUAGAGUUACGGAGAGGAAGUCGGAAUUCCUGGUGUAGGGGUGAAAUCUAUAGAUAUCAGGAAGAACAUCGGUUGCGAAGGCUGACUUCUGGACGUUAACUGACGCUGAGGUACGAAAGUUAGGGUAGCAAACAGGAUUAGAGACCCUGGUAGUCCUAACUGUAAACGUUGUAUACUAGGUGGUGGCGUUUUGAUCGCGUCACUGCCGGAGCUAACGCAUUAAGUAUACCGCCUGGGGAGUAUGCCGGCAACGGUGAAACUCAAAGGAAUUGACGGGGGCCCGCACAAGCAGUGGAGCAUGUUGUUUAAUUCGAUGAUACGCGAGGAACCUUACCAGGUCUUGACAUAUACCUGAAUGUUGUAGAGAUACAUCAGUCUUUCGGGACAGGUAUACAGGUGCUGCAUGGUUGUCGUCAGCUCGUGCCGUGAGGUGUUGGGUUAAGUCCCGCAACGAGCGCAACCCU